rnacentral:rRNA from 1 species
CCUCGGGUGAUCCCGCCGGACCCGACUGCUAUCGGAUUGAGAUUUAGCCAUGCGAGUCGAACGUCCCCCUGUUGCGGGGGGCGUGGCGUACGGCUCAGUAACACGUAGUCAACCUGCCCUGGAGACAAGGACAACCCCGGGAAACUGGGAUUAAUCCUUGAUAGGUCAUCUCAUCUGGAAGGAGAGAUGGCUUAAAGGGGUACGCGGGCUUCUUCCGCGAAUCUGCUCCAGGAUGGGACUGCGUCCGAUCAGGCUGUUGGCGGGGUAAUGGCCCACCAAACCUGUAACCGGUACGGGCCUUGAGAGAGGUGGCCCGGAGAUGGACACUGAGAGAAGGGUCCAGGUCCUACGGGGCGCAGCAGGCGCGAAACCUUCGCAAUGCGCGAAGGCGUGACGAGGUUAAUCCGAGUGACUCCCGCUGAGGGGGUCUUUUGUCAGCUGUAAAUAGGCAGGCGAAUAAGGGGAGGGCAAGCCUGGUGUCAGCCGCCGCGGUAAUACCAGCUCCUCGAGUGGUCGGGGCGAUUAUUGGGCCUAAAGCAUCCGUAGCCGGUUCCGUAGGUCCUCUGUUAAAUCCAACCGCUUAACGGUUGACCUGCAGAGGAUACCGCGGGACUAGGAGGCGGGAGAGGCGGACGGUACUCCGCGUGUAGGGGUAAAAUCCUUUGAUCCGCGGAAGACCACCAGUGGCGAAGGCGGUCCGCCAGAACGCGCUCGACGGUGAGGGAUGAAAGCUGGGGGAGCGAACCGGAUUAGAUACCCGGGUAGUCCCAGCCGUAAACGAUGCUAGCUAGAUGAUUCAUUCGCAAGUCGCGAAUGAAGUGUCGCAGGGAAGCCGUUAAGCUAGCCGCCUGGGGAGUACGGUCGCAAGACUGAAACUUAAAGGAAUUGGCGGGGGAGCA